rnacentral:misc_RNA from 1 species
GAUGAAGAACGCAGCGAAAUGCGACAAGUAAUGUGAAUUGCAGAAUUCCGUGAAUCAUCGAAUCUUUGAACGCACAUUGCGCCCCCUGGUAUUCCGGGGGGCAUGCCUGUCCGAGCGUCAUUACAACCCUCAAGCUCAGCUUGGUAUUGGGCCCCGCCGACCCGGCGGGCCCUAAAGUCAGUGGCGGUGCCGUCCGGCUCCGAGCGUAGUAAUUCUUCUCGCUCUGGAGGUCCGGUCGUGUGCUCGCCAGCAACCCCCAAUUUUUUUCAGGUUGACCUCGGAUCAGGUAGGGAUACCCGCUGAACUUAAGCAUAUCAAUAAGCGGAGGA